UUUUGUCGGGCAGGAAGGCGGGCUCGACUUUCUCUUUUUGCAAGCGGGAGCAGAAGGCCGUCCUUAGAGCCCGGGCUGCGGUUUCCAUCUUGAGCAGAUCUCCCCCGAAACUUCUCCAAGUGCCCCCCAUAGCUUACUUGUUUCCCGAGUUCUUGUCUUCAUUCGGCUGUCUUCCCCAACCCGGCAGGGCCAGGAGAUCGGGAAUUUGGGACGCAGAAAGCAUUCAGAAACUCACAACAACUGCUGCAGCCACGAAUCUACGCGAUCCCAGCCCGGUCUGCUGUUAUAUGGUCCCCUCUGACUUAAACUGAUGACGGCCCCCAUUUUUAACCUGGAUGCUGCCCCUCGCCUUUCCUUCUGUUGCUGCCCAGCCUCCUGUUGCUCCCCCCCCCAACACGCCCCGUUCCCAUUUUUCAGCUUUUCUUGAAAUCUGGCAAGCGCCAGAAAGGGAAAUAACUUCCAUCCACCUUAAUUUAAAUCAUUCAAGUGUAAGUUUCUUUCUUAAAGGAGUGUUUGCUCGCUCCUUUCCCCAUGCUCCCCCUCCAAGUCGGGGAGAGGGGGCGUCGAGCAGUUUCUUGGUGAUGAGGUAAUGAGUUCCAGAUUUCAGGACAGAGCAGGCUGCGCGUUAAAACCACAAGCCCCAGCCCCUUUGCUUUGGAAUUAUCCUCCAGCCUCUCCUGCAAAGCCCAGCCCGGAAAGGGACCAACCCCACCCUGGGGAGCUGUUCCUCGAGAAGCAGGACCCAUCCCCCAGCCAGAGCAGGGAGCUGACAACUCUUGGAGGGUCGGCACAGAGGCAGCCGGAGAGAGGAUGGAUCUCUGCCACAACCCCGUGACUUCUUCCAAGCUGAAUUUCUCCUGCCAACUAAACCCUCCACCCUGUGGGGGCCACGGGCCCCCAAACCAGGGCCUGCCCUCGUCUGACCAAAGGCAACCGGAUCUGCUGCAGCUGUUCAGGGAGAGAACAAGCUCUCCCAGAGACCGUGGAAGCGGCUAGAGAAAGAUUCCUGCCAGCCUGGGGGUUUAAAUAUUUAUACAACGUGGUAUGUGGGAAGAGGGAAGGCAGAGGGAGGUGGCAGGAACGAGGGGCACUGAGACCGCAGGGUGUGGGGGCUGCUCUUCGGGUUCAGGUGGGAAGGGCAAGAGGCUGCUAGGCCCCUAGCUCUCCUCCCAGCGCCCCCCUCCCCAAUUCCUACAUCCCAAGAGUCCGGUCUUUGCCCCCAGCCUUCCUGCCAGAGUUGAGAGGAAAACCUAGAAGCAAGUUCCCCAUCCUUCCCUUAAGUCCCCUGAACAUCCCUCCGGACUAGGAUAAGCCUCUCUGCUGUGAGGGAGGCUCUGCCUUCAACCAGAGACAAAGUGGGGCCACAGGGCCCAGGCGUGAGGACUUGUGGGCUCCUGGACCUUCUGGUUCUAGGAGUCUGAGAGGAUGCUGGACCCCAAGAGUUGGACUCUAGGGCUGAAGGCUUAGCAAACAGAAGCAAACUAUAAAAUAAGCAAAGCUCUUUCUCCAGCUUCUAUAUGUAAUCAAUGAUAUUUGUCUAAAGUAGCAGAACGUUGGACAUUGAUAAGGAUGAUGAGGCACGGAGGCGACCAGGCAGGCGAGCCAGGGGUAGAGAAGGCAAGGGAGACCUCGAUGGCACUCACGGAGCAGCACGUGGUCACCAUCCCCAUGGGGCCCAGGAGAGGACAGUGCAGCCGGAUGGACAUCCAGUGGGGGCUCUGGGGCCCCAGCAUCCCAGGUAUGCAUCGACAAAGUCGCUUCUCAGCCAGGCCCCAGUGGCACCGAGAGCCCGGGGUGGGAGGCAA